GAUUGGUGGUGCAGGUAGAGAGAACAAUUGUUUUUAUUUCUUUUCACUCUCACUUACAAAAUGUCCCUAUCUACUAUCUAGCGAAACCACAGCCAAGGGAACGGGCUUGGAAAAAUCAGCGGGGAAAGAAGACCCUGUUGAGCUUGACUCUAGUCUGACUCUGUGAAGAGACAUGAGAGGUGUAGCAUAAGUGGGAGGCCGUGAACCCUCGCGGUUGUGUCGUGCCGUCAGUGAAAUACCACUACUUUCAUCGUUUCUUUACUUACUCGGUGAAGCGGAAAGCGGACCAUGAGUGUCCACGCUUCUAGCACGAAGUGCAAGGCCCU
rnacentral:ncRNA from 1 species